rnacentral:rRNA from 1 species
CACGCUGUAAACGAUGAUAACUCGUUGUCGGCGAUACACAGUCGGCGACUUAGCGAAAGCGUUAAGUUAUCCACCUGGGGAGUACGAUCGCAAGGUUGAAACUCAAAGGAAUUGACGGGGGCCCGCACAAGCGGAGGAGCAUGUGGUUUAAUUCGAUGAUACGCGAGGAACCUUACCUAGACUUGAACGUAUUAGUAAUAUAUGAGAAAUCAUAUAGCUAUUUAUAGACUUUUACGAGGUGC